rnacentral:rRNA from 1 species
AUUGAACGCUGGCGGCAUGCUUUACACAUGCAAGUCGAACGGUAACAGGCCGCAAGGUGCUGACGAGUGGCGAACGGGUGAGUAAUGCAUCGGAACGUGCCCAGUCGUGGGGGAUAACGCAGCGAAAGCUGCGCUAAUACCGCAUACGAUCUCUGGGUGAAAGCGGGGGACCGAAAGGCCUCGCGCGAUUGGAGCGGCCGAUGUCAGAUUAGGUAGUUGGUGGGGUAAAGGCCCACCAAGCCAACGAUCUGUAGCUGGUCUGAGAGGACGACCAGCCACACUGGGACUGAGACACGGCCCAGACUCCUACGGGAGGCAGCAGUGGGGAAUUUUGGACAAUGGGGGCAACCCUGAUCCAGCCAUGCCGCGUGUGUGAAGAAGGCCUUCGGGUUGUAAAGCACUUUCGGCCGGAACGAAAUCGCGCGGAUUAAUAACUCGCGUGGAUGACGGUACCGGAAGAAGAAGCACCGGCUAACUACGUGCCAGCAGCCGCAGUAAAAC